AACCUAUAUCUAUCACCUCUUAACUCUCCAUUCUCUCGACUCUCCUCUCAAUCUCCACCAUCCUCCUCGCCUCCUUUCUCUGUUGCCGCUCCUACCACUCCCCCAGUGCCCCCAACAGCAACCACCACCACCACUGCAGCAACCUCACACCUCGACGCCUGGCUGAAGCUGAACGGCUCGUGCCUGGUUUCCAGGAACUUGCCGCUGCCAACCCCGCUGUCCACGCCGCUCUUGGAGGUCGUUUCACUCUCGCAGUACGCCGCGGAUCGGAGGCGGAGGAGUUCACAAUAAUCUUGCUGGUGAGACAUUUCUUUGCUGUGUUUACAAAAAAAAAAAAAAAAAAAAAAAAAAGGUCGAGCUCGAGCAAAAUAGACGAGCACGAGCUCGAGCUCGAGCUCGAACAGGGUUCAGACCCUAUCGAGCCAAGGUAAGGUUCACAUAAAAUUUUUAAAUCUCCAAUCGUUAUCGGCCAUAUCAUCUCCAUUGGCUUUGUUACCUUUUAAGAUCUCAACUAAACAUUUCAAUUUUGAGGAGGAUUUAGCAGCUGAGGAAUCAGCAAGAGAAGGAGCUUGAUGAGUGACAGCGUAUGCCAGUCAUUUCUUUAUUUCCUCAGUUUGGUUUCAACUGCUAGUUUCUUGUUAUUAUUUAUUUGUGCGUUAGAUAUGUGCUCACUGUUUACUUGUCUCUCAUGAAAUGAUAGUUGCUCAAAAUGCAAUGAGUUUAAAGUUGGUGUAAGAGACAUCAUCCAAGCAGGACAUGGAGAGCGCUAUCAGGCAUUGCCUCUUUCCUGAUGAUGUUAAAAGAUCAUGUUCUACAAUAUGGUUGAGAAAAGACAGCAAUUAUUUCCUUCAUGUGACUAAACAUAAGAUUCUUUUGUUCUUCUGUUUUUAUCCCUCUUGAUUCACUGUGUAUUUGGUAGGUUGUAGGUACCUAGUGAUUUGUACAUAAAAUUGAUUAUUGGAAUGCUCCCAACUCUUGGCCUUAUGUAAAAUUAAUUACUCUAUGUGUAAGUUUGUUUCAUCUCA